GUGUUUUGUUUCGCGAGUGUUUCUAUCUCUCUCACACACACUUGGACAGAAAGAAGAAUUCAAGAAUUUAUGUGUAAAAACGAGUUGUCAAUAUCAACAUUUCACCCAUAGACAAUCUGUCAAAUUUUAUAGUGAUUAUACGACAACGACAGAGAGUUUGAUUGGAUACAAACAUAUAUUCUAGAAGAAAAGUAAAUUUGUUUCGGAUCGAUAAUAAUAACAACAACAACAAUAUGUUUAAACACACAGUUCCGGAGCAUCGAUUGAAAUUGAAUUUAACAACAUAAAUAAGAAUAAGAGAAACACACACACACGGACAAAUAUUCGCCGUUUGAAUUGUUAAUGAGCAGCAAAAAUUGUUAAAUGUCAGCGUCGAUUAUUCAACUGAAUGCUGAAAAGUCAAUUAAAGAGCUCUACGAAUGUCGGACGCUAAAUUUGAAAGCCAUUGGCAAACUUGGCUAAAACGUAUUUAACCCAACAAAAAGUAAAAAAAAAAAAAAACAGAAGGAAGAAGUAAAGCAUAAA